UUUUUUUGAAUGAAUGUUAAAUUAUAUUCACCAAAAAGACGUUUGAUACAUCAAGUGCAACAUUUCAAAAAGAGGAAUAAGAAGUUCUCUGUAAGACUAAGAUUAGCUUCUAGUGGAGAACCAAAAACAGAGGAGGUUCUCAU
rnacentral:sRNA from 1 species